AUUGAACGCUGGCGGCAGGCCUAACCCAUGCAAGUCGAACGAGUGGCGGAAGGGUGAGUAAUGUCUGGGAAACUGCCUGAUGGAGGGGGCUAACUACUGGAAACGGUAGCUAAUACCGCAUACCAUCGGAUGUGCCGAGAUUGGAUUAGCUAGGUGGUGGGGUAACGGCUCACCUAGGCGACGAACCGUAGCUGGUCUGAGAGGAUGACCAGCCACACUGGAACUGAGACACGGUCCAGACUCCUACGGUAGGCAGCAGUGGGGAAUAUUGCACAAUGGGCGAAAGCCUGAUACAGCCAUGCCGCUUGUAUGAAGAAGGCCUUCGGGUUGUAAAGCACUUUCAGCGGUGAGGCGUUACCCGCAGAAGAAGCACCGGCUAACUCAGUGCCAGACGCCGCGGUAAUAC
rnacentral:rRNA from 1 species